UCAAAUUGAAAUAUUCCCUUUAUAUAAAAGGUUGAUCUACUCAGUCUUAUUUGAUUCCGCAGCAAAACAAUUUGGUUCGGGAAAUUUCUUUCGAUAAACACUUGGAGUUUUUGAAAACAUUUUUGAGAAUGACGUCAUGAUGCCGCACUGUAUUUACAGUCCGUUGAGGAUUUCGUCAUUUGGUGAUUUUGUCAUACUACAUUAUACCAUAAUGGAAUAGUGACUUUAAGUCAAAUUCACACUAAGUAAUACUGCAUUGAUGACUCCAUCAUUUUUAUCAUCUCUACACCAGGUCAAAUGGUACAUAAGUGAUAAAUAAAAACAAUUUUUUUUUUAAAAGGCACAUAAUGCGUAUUUAUCUUGAUGUUAAAAUAUCGAAGUUUAGCAAAGCUAGGGGUUUAGGAAAACUUAAGUCUCCACUAAUGAUCAUUUGCUUAAACAUUC
rnacentral:lncRNA from 1 species